rnacentral:piRNA from 1 species
UGGCAGCUGUUCAGGGUGUGGUUGA